UGUAGCUCAGUGGUAAGAGCACUUGCCUGGCAUGUGUGAAGCACUGGGUUCAAUCCUCAGCA
rnacentral:tRNA from 1 species